rnacentral:rRNA from 1 species
GACGAACGCUGGCGGCGUGCCUAAUACAUGCAAGUAGAACGCUGAAGGAGGAGCUUGCUUCUCUGGAUGAGUUGCGAACGGGUGAGUAACGCGUAGGUAACCUGCCUGGUAGCGGGGGAUAACUCUUGGAAACGAUAGCUAAUACCGCAUAAUAGCAGUUGUUGCAUGACAACUGUUUGAAAGGUGCAAUUGCACCACUACCAGAUGGACCUGCGUUGUAUUAGCUAGUUGGUGGGGUAACGGCUCACCAAGGCGACGAUACAUAGCCGACCUGAGAGGGGGGUCGGCCACACUGGGACUGAGACACGGCCCAGACUCCUACGGGAGGCAGCAGUAGGGAAUCUUCGGCAAUGGACGGAAGUCUGACCGAGCAACGCCGCGUGAGUGAAGAAGGUUUUCGGAUCGUAAAGCUCUGUUGUAAGAGAAGAACGAGUGUGAGAGUGGAAAGUUCACACUGUGACGGUAUCUUACCAGAAAGGGACGGCUAACUACGUG